rnacentral:snoRNA from 1 species
GCAUGGUAAUGGAUUUAUGGGGGGGUCCUUCUCUGUGGGCCUCUCAUAGUGUACCGUGCCAGAGUAAAUGGCAGCCUCGAACCAUUGCCCAGCCCCUUACCUGUGGGCUGUGAGCACUGAAGAGGGUUGCACAGUA